rnacentral:rRNA from 1 species
CAUUAUGUAAGACCCCUUGUAGACGACGAGGUUGAUAGGUUCGGGGUGGAAGCGCGGCAACGUGUGCAGCUGACGAAUACUAAUCGGUCGAGGGCUUAUCCAAU